AUGGUUGCCUGGAACUCUUCGUUGGCGCGCAUUUCGAACCAUGUGCUUGACACAAACUUUUUCACGGGCUACGUGACACCCAUCGAUGGUGUGCCCUGGUGGCUAACCACCGUCUAUGGCCCGCAAGAAGAUGAGGAGAAAAUCGCCUUCCUGGAAGAACUAACUGCUAGAAGGCAGCUUUGCCCAGGGCCAUGGCUUGUCAUUGGCGACUUCAACAUGAUUAUGCAAGCCUCGGACAAAAGCAAUACGAACCUGGAUAGGAGAAUGAUGCACAGGUUUCGCCAAUUCGUUGAUGGCACUGGUUUGAAAGAAUUGUUCCUACAUGGCAGGAAGUUCACUUGGAGUAGCGAA
rnacentral:rRNA from 1 species